rnacentral:rRNA from 1 species
GCUGAACGAUGGCGGCGUGCCUAACACCUGCAAGUCGAGCGAUUUACUUCGGUAACGAGCGGCGGACGGGUGAGUAACGCGUGGGUAACCUGCCCUAUACACACGGAGAACAUACCGAAAGGUAUGCUAAUACGAGAUAAAAUAAGAGAGUCGAAUGCAUUUCUUAUCAGAGCUUUUGCGGUAGAGGAUGGACCCGCGUCUGAUUAGCUAGUUGGUAAGGUAACGGCUUACCAAGGCGACGAUCAGUAGCCGACCGGGGACGGUGGGCGGCCAGAUGGGAACGGAGACACGGGCCAAGCAGCUACGGGAGGCAGCAAUGGGGGAUAUUGCAGAAUGGGCGAAAGCCUGAUGCAGGAACUCCGCGAGAGCGAUGAAGGCCUUCGGGUCGUAAAGCUGUGUCCUCAAGGAAGAUAAUGACGAUACUUGAGGAGGAAGCCCCAGCUAACUACGUGCCAGCAGCCGCGGUAACAC